GCCCUACAUAAUACACAAACUUUUAGUGAAUUGAACAAUACAAUCGACAUCACUAUCAAUUCUGAUACGAAAAUUAAAUUGCGUUUUAAACGAGGCACAGAGAUAACAUUUUCAAGCUUCAAGUUCUCGCUAAGUUUUACAGAUCCCUCUUGUGUAGCUAUUUUUUGUUGUGCAUAUGGAAAGUACACACAUCCAAUCACUUCAUGCACUUCAAGUUUGCAUUCAUAUGGUUUGAUGCCCCAAUGUCAAUUAUCCAUGAGAUUUUGUCCUGUUUACUUGUCAUCCUCUCACCCAUAGAGCAUACCAUCCAAUACCAUAAAGAAUUACGCACUUUUUCUUUCUCCCGUCGCUUUUUUAACUGUGAUCCUAUGUUACACACUUGCAUCCUUCACACGUAUGCGUACUUGUUCAUAAUUUGCUAGUUCGUCCCGUAUUUUCUUCAUUCUUCCAUAGUAUCUUAUAACUUUCAUACUUACAAUCUGCCAAAUUAGAUUUCAAUUAUUGAAUAUCCUCAGUCCAUUGGCAACUAAAACCAGUUCCGUAAUUUCUUCCCAGAGAUUUUUUUUACAUUCUAUGUGAUAUGAUUGAAAGCAAAGUUGGUUCGGUAGUAUUUUGAAUCCAUGAUACUAUCAUGGAUUAAAAGGUUCACCAGUCCUCCAACACAGACGACCCUUCUACCGGUUCCGUGAUUGUUCCGUCAAUAAAUUCAUAUUUCCUUCAAGCACCUAAUGAGGUACGCAUUGCACGAUCUCAUUCUUCAUGAUUUUCUCCCCGCGAUUGUACUUGUGUAAUCAAGUUUUCUGGGUUGUUGUUUGAAGUCAAAUGAUAAGGUGAGAUUUUCUAUAAGUUUUGGUCGUGGGUCGCCCACGUGGACCAACCCGACCCAACCCAAUCUGUUUUAAUAUCUUAUCCAAUUAAUUAGGAUAAAUCCUUUAAAGGAUAAGACUACACAGUUACAAUGUAAAUGUUCAACUUCUCUUUAAAAGACUCCUAGUGGGAGCAAUUUUAGUGAGACGUGAGAAGUGGAACAUCAAAUGUGAAAAGAGAGAAAAUUGUGAAACAAAAUCAAGAAUCAAGUGUUCAGUCUAGAAACAAAAGUAUCGAGUUUCUAAGACAGAUUCAUCAACACACAAAAACAGACUUCUAGUUUGUGAACAAAAUCUUUGUUUCCUAGUGAUUCAAAGAUGGACUUGAGCACCAACCUGUCAAAGAAGCAGAUUAACGACUUUCACUUUGAAUUACAAGAUAUGGCUGAAAAGGAACAUGCUCAAAUUACUCCAAGUGGGAGUUCUCAAAGUAGAGCAAAAGGACGAGGUCAAUGAGCAAUCCGCCGUAAGAUGUGUUUUCGAGGGCGAAAAGUCGUACAGAUUGGUGUCCCAAAAAAGACACAAAGUAUGUUAAGGAGUGAAAGGACCAUUCGAAGAAAAAAAGAAAUAUAUCUAAGAGAGUUUAAGUUUUUGAAGAUGGAUCUCCUUGGUUAUUUAAUAGGAUUCCUCCAGAUCUUUGUCAAAAUUUUGAAAAGCUUAAUGAAAGUGAACAAGUUUCAGA